UACGUAGGGGGCUAGCGUUGUCCGGAAUCAUUGGGCGUAAAGCGCGCGUAGGCGGCCCAGUAAGUCCGUUGUAAAAGUCAAAGGCUCAACCUUUGAAAGCCGAUGGAUACUGCUGGGCUAGAGUCCGGAAGAGGCGAGUGGAAUUCCUGGUGUAGCGGGUGGAAUGCGCAGAUAGUCAGGAGGAACACCGGUGGCGAAGGCGGGUCUCUGGGCCGAUGACUGACGCUGAGGAGCGAAAGCGUGGGGAGCGAACAGG
rnacentral:rRNA from 1 species